GAAAGACUUGUGGAGGAAACUUUCUAGCCUACUAUGAGAUAAAAUAUGUAGGGCAGGCCACAUGUCAUAUGAGGAAUGUUGGUGAUGCUGAUCCUAUUGUUUCUUGUUACCGACCUGAGGUCACAUGACUAGAACAUAGUUGUACUCACACAACCUAUCACACUCUUGUAUAAGAUAGGAUCACUUUUGACAGGAUUAUAGACAAUUUGCUACACAGUAUGAGGAACUUGUUGCACUUUGUGUUUGUUUGAGUUGCUUGCUGUACAGCCUGACGAUGUGGAUCACUAUACCUAUUGUGAGAGUUGCUUGACUACAGCCCAAGAAAUUGAGAGCAGAAGAAAGACACAGCAGAGUCCAGACGGGAUGUUAUUGAGAAGCUAGUCAGUGGUGCUGUGUACCAAGAUUUAGAUGCUAAAAUCCCCACUGAACACAUUUUAAUGUAACUAUGUUCAACUGUACCAACUCUGUUUAUUUAAUCUCCAAAAUUCUCUUAGAAUAAAGAUAUUUCUCAAUAUCAUGUUGUUUUAUGUUAUUGUAAUUUCUGCCAUACUAACUGACAAUGCAAUCAUUUGUAGGUUCACCCACUAAUGCAAUAUAUUGAUAAAGGAUGUGACAACUAUUAUCUUAAUGGUAUCAAGUGUUCAGCCAUCUGCCCUUUUCCAGAAACAUCCAUAUUGCGUUUCUCUCUGUCUCAUACAAAAUCCAUAUCUGAAUAAGCUAAGAAUUAACACAGUUGGAUUGAAGUAUAUGAAUUUGAAUGGGAUAUUAUUGAUUAUGCAUUAUACACUAUUUCAAAUUUGCUUUCAUUUGUAAAUUACAUUGUCAAAUCACUCAAUUUGAAUGUGAGUCAUGUAAUACUUUUACAGAUUCAAGAGAUAAUUAUGAUGACUGAAUAAUGAUUUAUUUCAGAAAUUCUGACAUAAAUAAAGAUGUAGUAUAUUUAAUUCAACUGCUAAUAAUAGUAGGUACAUUUCAUAUUCACAAAUGCAAAUGGUCUAAUUCAAAAACCUAACUUUUUUCACUUUAUAAAUGAGUUUAAACAAUAUGGCACUACUUACAUUAUUUUUUUUUAAGGCAUUUAAAAAUUGUAUUAUUAAUUAAUAUGAUUUGUUUGUUUAGGAUUCCUGGCAACGUAAAUAGUUUGUUUGUAUGCUUGUUUUCAUGUGACUAUUCCU
ensembl:lncRNA